rnacentral:tRNA from 1 species
GGUGGAUUCGUAUAAUGGUCAUUACACUCGGCUGUCUACCGAGAAACAGGGGUUCAAUUCCCCUAUCCAUCGCCA